CUUUUGCGGUGCACGUGUCGCGAUGCCAACGCUCGAAUCCGUGGUGGCAUGAACGUUCGAGGAACCAAUCCCGUACCCCGUUUCCAUUACCACCAAGUUCCCUCUUUUGCCCCUCCGACGGCCUCUGCUUCUCAACCAGAUCGGGGGCAAUUGCGGGAAUCGAAAAUAUAGCCGGACUGCUUGCAGGAGGGUUGUCCACCCUAUUGCCCCGCGCGUGUUCGAAUUUACCCACCGGUCUUUCGUAUCCGUCCAUUAUUAUAUGUUCGACCCCACUCCUUUCUUUAAAUUAAAUUAAAUCCCACACGGCGCUAUACCGGUCGAGGAGGGGAAGAAGAAAUCGAACCAUCCCGCUGCUUCCAUCGAUCGCCGUCAUGAAGAGAUCCGGGGCGAAGGUGGCCGCUGCCUCGGUGGCCGUUGCGUCCUCCACCGCCGCCCUCACUGCCGCCACCUAUACUGCCGCUCUCUCCGAUUCCUCCUCCGAUCCCAAUUUCCAAUCUCCUGCUCAGUCCGGCGAGAUGGAGGAGCGGCGGCGGUCGUCUUCCGCGACGGAUAGAUUUGCUCCGAGAUUCGAUGGAUUGCGGUUUAUUGAGACGCUCGUGACAGCUCAUCGAUGAGGAUUAGAAAGCUAGAAGUUCACGAUUUCUCCCUCUUUUUUUUUUCUUGCUUGGUGUGAGUGUAGCUAAAGAUGUCUGAUGAUUGAUGGAAUGUAACGUUUGAUUAGCUGUAAUUGUAAUUAAUUGAAAUAGUAGGUGUGAUCAUUGUUAUGCUGAGACAAAUUGUGUCCGUUGCCGAGAAAAGUUUGUAGAGGACAGGGAAGAUUCCUAUCUCGUCUGAUGUUGGGUUAUUAUUUAUUAAUUGUACCAUCCCAAUUCUUACCAAAGAAAAAAAAAAA